CAGCCGCCGCGGUAAUACCGGCGGCCCGAGUGGCGGCCACUAUUAUUGGGCCUAAAGCGUCCGUAGCCGGGCUGGUAAGUCCUCCGGGAAAUCUGGUCGCUUAACGAUCAGACUUCCGGAGGAUACUGCUGGCCUAGGGACCGGGAGAGGCCGAGGGUAUUCCCGGGGUAGGGGUGAAAUCCUGUAAUCCCGGGAGGACCACCUGUGGCGAAGGCGCUCGGCUGGAACGGGUCCGACGGUGAGGGACGAAGGCCAGGGGAGCGAACCGGAUUAGAUACCCGGGUAGUCCUGGCGGUAAACGAUGCGGACUAGGUGUCGGGCAAGCUAAGGGCUUGUCCGGUGCCGCAGGGAAGCCGUUAAGUCCGCCGCCUGGGGAGUACGGCCGCAAGGCUGAAACUUAAAGGAAUUGGCGGG
rnacentral:rRNA from 1 species